GGGGGGGGGGGGGGGAGAGAACCGUUCGGUGAGAAGGAAAAAGAAGAAGAAGAAGAAAAUCUUGGAGAUUUCUUCCUAGACUUGGAUUGAAGCCUAAUUUGGAGGUUCGGGUGACACGUGGAUACGAGGCAACGGGACGUAGAGUGGUGGCAUAUAGCUUUCUUUUGGACGUGCUAUGUAGAUAUGGACUUGUAGAUAGGGAGUUGCUCUUGGUAAACACUUUUUUUGACAUGUAAAAAUGCACAGCUCUGGGUGGUU